rnacentral:sRNA from 1 species
UCCUCUGGGAAAAACUUGAAUCAAUCGUGUCAGGUUUUUGAGAAGUGCACUGAGUCUUCUGGAAUGUGGCUCUUUUCUCCAUUUGACCUGACUCUAGGUCAUGCUCCAUGGCUACUGUGGACUUGGACUAUAAUCUGGGGCUCUCUUUGGAUCAGGACCCUAGAAGGAGUAAUGGACUUGGAGACGUGGGAGGAAGUUGGAGACUGGCUGGGAGUCACCAUUUUUUCUUUGUGUCUCAGCCGCAGCUUCUGCCCCCUCCUAACUGAGUUGUUUGAGCUGAAGAACAAUGGCCAGAGAGCACGGAAUGAGAACAGGGAGCUUCUAUGGGAACAGAUUGCACUGGAAGAGUCCAUUAAGGAAACAACAAGGAUCUGUGGGGAAGCCAGUAUGAAAAUCCCUGUAUCAAGCAGCCUCAGGUCUGAACACUGCAGCAGAAGGUUUCCCAGGGCACAGAGCAGGACUACAGCUCUCAGAGACAGAACUGUCCACCAGGAGCACUGAGGGUGCAAAGAUUGACACCACCUCCCCCAUCUCAGUCCUUGUAACCAUAGCAAUCUUGGGCUGCAUUUGAAAGACCUUGAGAUGUGGCCUGGAACACGCCUCACGUUUAACCUCUUGACGACUUGUCCAUCAACAACCAACCACCCGGAAUGAGGCGUCUACAUUCAUCUUGAGGAGAUUUUUACCAUCUUACCUGCCGUUCUGCUGUGUUUGCAAGGCCAGCAACAGGCUGGAGUUAUAUGUUGAAAACUGUGUAGCAAUUGAAUGCUGACUAAUUUACUUGUUAUAUUUGAUAUUUAGUUUGAAGUUUGGUUUUAUGCAUUUGGUUUUAUUUGUUUAAGUUUGAAGUUUUGUUAUUUAUUUGUUAACUUUAGUUUUUUAAUUAAUAUGCUAUAUUCCUAAUGCUAUAUACAUUGAACUCAUUGACUCCCCACUUUAAAAUGUUCUUGAAUAAAUUAAUGCUUGCCUAUAAAUAAAAAUGUGACCUUUAACCCUUCACUCACAA